UCGAGAAUUUUUCACAAUGGGCGAAAGCCUGAUGGAGCGACGCCGCGUGGGGGAUGAAGGGCUUCGGCUCGUAAACCCCUGUCAUUCGCGAACAAAGGUGCCGGCCUAAUAUGCCGUCGUCUGAUAGUAGCGGAAGAGGAAGGGACGGCUAACUCUGUGCCAGCAGCCGCGGUAAUACAGAGGUCCCAAGCGUUGUUCGGAUUCACUGGGCGUAAAGGGUGCGUAGGUGGCAGGCUAAGUCGGGUGUGAAAUCUCCGGGCUCAACCCGGAGGGUGCGCUCGAAACUGGUUUGCUAGAGGAUGGGAGGGGAGACUGGAAUUCUCGGUGUAGCAGUGAAAUGCGUAGAUAUCGAGAGGAACACCGGUGGCGAAGGCGAGUCUCUGGACCAUUCCUGACACUGAGGCACGAAAGCCGGGGGAGCAAACA
rnacentral:rRNA from 1 species